GUGAGGUGGCAGUGGUGAGGUUGGGGAGGGGGUUACCACUGGUGACUCUUCAUUAUCCCUGGGAGUGCCUUGUCCACCAGAAUUUUUGCUUUAUCCCGAAUCAUGCAGCACAGCUGUGUGACCUUCCCCAGCCAGUUCUCCAAACUGAAGAAUGGAUUAAUGUAAUCUCUACAAAAUGCCUCUGGAUCUGUAUUAUCACCAAACCAAAGUUGCCAGGCAGAAGAUCCCACAGUGAGGCAGAGACCUGUAAAACAUAGCCAAUGACCCCCC